rnacentral:rRNA from 1 species
AACGAACGCUGGCGGCAUGCCUAACACAUGCAAGUCGAACGAAGCCUUCGGGCUUAGUGGCGCACGGGUGCGUAACGCGUGGGAAUCUGCCCCUUGCUUCGGAAUAACAGUUAGAAAUGACUGCUAAUACCGGAUGAAGUCUUCGGACCAAAGAUUUAUCGGCAAGGGAUGAGCCCGCAUAGGAUUAGGUAGUUGGUGGGGUAAAGGCCUACCAAGCCGACGAUCCUUAGCUGGUCUGAGAGGAUGAUCAGCCACACUGGGACUGAGACACGGCCCAGACUCCUACGGGAGGCAGCAGUGGGGAAUAUUGGACAAUGGACGCAAGUCUGAUCCAGCAAUGCCGCGUGAGUGAUGAAGGCCUUAGGGUUGUAAAGCUCUUUUACCAGGGAUGAUAAUGACAGUACCUGGAGAAUAAGCUCCGGCUAACUCCGUG